AGUUAACUGUUACAGACAUAUAUUGAGUAGCGACAAUAUAGCAGUUAAUAAUGAAGUAGUGAUUAAAGUUCUCCCAGACACACUACAUAAAAAGGCCCCUUAUAUUUGAGUAAGGGUGCCUUU
rnacentral:sRNA from 1 species